UCCUACGGGAGGCAGCAGUGGGGAAUAUUGCACAAUGGGGGAAACCCUGAUGCAGCGACGCCGCGUGAAGGAAGAAGUAUCUCGGUAUGUAAACUUCUAUCGGCAGGGAAGAAAACGGACGGUACCUGACUAAGAAGCCCCGGCUAACUACGUGCCAGCAGCCGCGGUAAUACGUAGGGGGCGAGCGUUAUCCGGGUUUACUGGGUGUAAAGGGAGCGUAGACGGCUGGGCAAGCCUGAUGUGGAAGGCGGGGGCGGAACCCUCGGCCUGCCU
rnacentral:rRNA from 1 species